ensembl:lncRNA LINC02233 long intergenic non-protein coding RNA 2233
GAAGACAUGGAUUGAAAUGAAGCGCGUAUGUGCUCACAGUUAACAACAACAACAAGAAAAGGCUGGAGAAAACAGCGGUAAGAGCACUAUGAGAUAAAUAUGAAGACUAAAUAUACAGUUAACAACAACAACAACAAGAAAAGGCUGGAGAAAACAGAGGUCCUGCUGGUCAUUGAGAGAAAAGGUGUGCACACAGGUUGGGCAAUAAGAGAAUCAAACAGUUCUCCACCAGCCAUUAACACCAGGGUUUGAAGGUGAAGAAGCUGGCAAAUUGAAAUGUCAACAGACGCAUAUAAAACCCUAACAAAAGCCUCUGUAGCCAAUAGAACAAGAAAGGAGUAGACUAGCAAGGCAGAAAACUUUUGGAAAAUAACUCUUCUGCUAUAUUCAAUCUGGGAAAAAAAAAAAACACAACACUGGCUCCACCCAACGAUGAUAACAAAGGCCCAGUAAGAAACCUUGACCACCUCUAAUAUAGAACCUGAAGCUCCUACCUACCAGAAUUAUUUCAGAGGAGGCCAAGUAGAAAACCAUGUCUUUCAUCUCUACCAUCCAAUAACAAGCCUACACCUUGCAGUGUCAGUAGAGACACAUGGGGAACUGGAACUCUUAAGCUCCCAAUCCCACCAAGCAGUAAUGAAGAGCUUUCCCGCACCAUAUGUCAACAGAGCACACUGUUGUGAGGACCCCGUACCACUUCUUCUAUCCAGCGGUAACAAGGGAGAUCUUUCCCUGCUGAGGUGUUGUCACAUAAAUCCAGCUAAAACAGGUUUAAAGAACACACAGAGUCUCAUGAUACAAAACUGUCCAGAUAUCAGUUAAAAAAUACUUGUCAUACCACGAACCAAGAUCUCAAACUGAAUUUUAAAAAGGAAUUCAAAAAUGUCAUUACCAAGGUGACAGAUUUGUUAGAAUUACCUGACAAAGAUUUAAAGUUGCCAUGAUAAAAAUGCUUCAACAAUUACCAAAAAAAGCUUGAAACAAAUGAAGCAAAAGAAAACUUCAGCAAAAAAAAUCAAAUCUCAGCAAAAAACAUAAUAUAUUAAAAAAUGGAAAUUUCAGAACUAAAAAA